rnacentral:misc_RNA from 1 species
UUGUCUCAACCCCAAGAUCAGGUCUGAUGGAGGGAUUUAAUGGUGGCAACUGGAGAGGCUGUGUUUAGGUUAAGAAACUUAUUUCUCUUCUAAAUUCUGGUUUAGGUCAUGCAAGAGUUAGGAAGCUCAAGAAAUUUCUGACCCCUUUAAUCCCAAAGCAUCCGUUGUUUUGGUAGUUACCCUGGCAGCCUCUCAGUUCAGGAAUUGGGUUCGAAUGCUAAGAGUUCCCUUUGUUUUGGGCCCCUAUCUUUGGAGCUGAGUUCAAAUCAGAAGAACCUUCUUCACUUUGCCCAACAAACACCAUCAACACAUUAUCACUUCCAUCAACAACAGCAACUUUUACAGCUCUAACAGCAGAAGCAAAUGAAGCAGCAAGCUUAGAUGAUGUUUAGGAGCAAUGGUGGGAUUAGUUGGAACUUCGAUGACUCUAGCUGUACGCCAACAAUUUUAUCUACCAAAUAUUUAUAUCUUCCUUGAGUAUAGGUGGUAGUCUUGUUUAGAAUAAAUCAUUUACAACAAAAAAAAAUUAAUUUAAU